rnacentral:SRP_RNA from 2 species
GCCGGGAGUGGUGGUGUACUCCUGUAAUCCAACUACUUAAAGGCUGGGUAUAGAGGAUGUUUUUAGGGCGGGGAUUCUGGGAUUGGAUUUUGCACGUUGACUAGGUAUCCGCUAGGGGUUAAGCUACAGCUUGGAUACCUUUGGGGAGCCUGAGGUAGCCAGGUUGAGUCUGGAAAGGAGAAAAAUCGGACCAAAAAUCUCACCGAGUUGAAAACCUGGGAGUGGGAAUUCAAUUUCAGCUCGCUCAAACAAGAACAGACCUGUACCUAC